UUAAAACCACAAAAUAAAAUGUAAAUAUUUUUCUAGAAAUCUCUGGUGCUCAGCCUUAAAUUUAAGUUAUGAUACUUCCAUAAUAUUCAAUUUCUACAUAUUUAUAGGUUCUCUGCCAUCCAGGACAUGAAAAAAACCCUUGUUGCACAUCCUAUCACAGUUCCACUCUGAAAUUCACCAAGUUCUUGAGAGCAACACAUUUUUUCACAAAUGUUUGUAAAAACAGUCUACAUGUGUAGAGGGGUGAAAAACACGUUAUUAUAACUAAAAACCAAGAAGUAAGAAAAUAGGCACCCCAACAUUAUUUUUCAUUUUAUAUCUUAAAUUUCUCGUUGUAAUAAGUUAUAUACAGUAGCGUUAUUUCAUUUCGUCCGUGCAAUUCCGCGCGCGGCCGCCAGGGGCGCUGUCCCGUUGGUGGUAUAGAAAAGGCUGAGCACAUAAGAAGAAUAAAUCUUCCUGUUAGAUGCUGACGGAAGCUCAACGUGUGUCUCAUCUUUUCUGUAUCACAGUGUAACCCUGUCCAUGUGAGACGACACCUCGCUGUUCCUUAGACUCUGCGUUGUGUUUUCUUUAAUGGUGGUUGUCGGAAGGAAACUUGAGGCAGAAAUCGGACACACACGGCGGUUGAGAUCGUGGUUUAGACCGUUUAUUCGGACCAACCGACAGCGCAGCGGCUUCGCCUUCAGAAUUCACAGCAAAUACUGACCGUUGUUCUGCCAGCGCACCGUAACAGACGCCAAGUACGGUGUUCUUCAACGGACACACUUUACCAACUUCCAUAACUCAAAGAACAAAUCUAACAUUUUGGUGGCAUCCGCUGACAUAUUUAAGCCACUGCCCUACAACAGCAUGACACGUUGAGGGAAGAUCAUCUUCUACUUUACCCUCAGCCAUCCAAGGUUGCAGGGUAACACAUGCCUAGGUGCUCACUCUGUAGUUCAUGAAGAUGGCGGCGCCCAAAAUGGCUGCGGCUGCAUGGGCUCUCGACAACUUGCGAGUAUUUGAGCAAAAUACUCCGCCUAAAACGCUACAAACUUUGCAUCCACUCAGUAAGUUAGCAUAUGAUUGCCAGCGUCUGCUGGAAUUACGAUCAUCAAGUGAUUUUGGACUCAUAAAUACGACUACUCUGGAGUGUUUACGUGAUCUCAGAGUGCUACGGAAGCAAGACCCAGCGGCCCGCAGCGCAGUGGACUCGCCUAGCAGCACUAGCCGGAGGAGGAGAAAGCGAAGGCGGUGCGACAGGCAGCGGAAGCGCGGCUGUCGAAGUGGACUAACAGCUAAGCUAAACGCUAACCCCCACAGAUCGCCGCUUCCGUCCAUCUUCCUCUCCAACGUCCGCUCUCUGGACAACAAAAUAGACCAUCUG